UCAAUUACAGAGUCAAUGCUUUACGUUAAUUGGAGACACAAUAUUCCGUUGGAGGGGCUCCAGUGCAUCAUCAGACACAGCCUUCCAUCUCUUGACCUUGAGCUGGCAGAGACCCUUAUCUCAGACCUCAGGAGAGACGGGUUGCCAGGUCACAAAAUAAACAUGCUGACGAAAGCCGGCGGGUAUAAAAGGAUCCGCGUCUCGAGGGUGUUUCCAUGCAGCUGAGCCACUUCGGCAACCACAAUUCAACCUCCUCUCUCUGCUCCCCCCUCGUCCGCUACGAAUGGUGCCAUCCCAAGUCCGUCGAUGCACCGACACCUCUGCCAACUCCCGCCUGGGUGUGAGAAUACUGCCAUUGAAAAAAGAUGGACAAACGAGGAGGGGAAGAGUUUUGGUUAUUCCCCUGACUGACUAUCUGCUGC
ensembl:lncRNA